CAGCACUGACCAUCAAGCCAUGAAACGUCCCUCUUGGAGGAUGCAUGUACUCAAACACUUGGCUGCGGUUAAAACGGCCAACUCAGUCAGCUGAUUCUAGCCAUCCCUUCUGGUUAGUUUUAGUCGGGCAUCCUAGUCUCCCAUCCAGAGAACCCCCACUUUUCUUAGUGUUUUAUUGGCCAAGGUCACGCCAAAUCCUUAUCACCACAUGUCGAUCAGCCUACCAGUGACCUUCACGGGACUUCAGUUUCAGUUGGUCUAACACGCUGUGUGGUCAGAAAUGUGCUUUCCCCAUCCUGAUGAGCACUUCCACAGUUUUUCCUCCUACUGAACUUUUACUCCUGUGGGCUGAAUCUCUUUAUGUCUGAUUGUGUGUGCAUCUAAACCUAGCAAUGAGGAAUCACCCCAGAAGCGGCCCUCUUCCGGGAGCCAGAACUGACUGAAUCGGCCUGGAAUCGGGUGUCAUACUCGGCCCGAAUCAAAAUGACUGUCCAGAAUCGGCCCAAGUACAUCCUACCUGAAUUCAGCUGACUUUGCCGGAAUCCCCCCAGAAGCGGCCUGAUGCAAAUAUUUCCUGUCAUCAACCGCUUGCCUGAGCUCCCGGACUACAUUAUUAGCCAUUUUCCUGCCUGUACUGUUACCUUUUUGGAGUCCCUGUGUAUGACCUCCUGCCUGUCCCUGGACCCAGCUACCUGCCUCCUCCUGUGGUCCUAAUAAACACCUGUGCUUGAAACCAGCA